UAGGGAAUCUUCCACAAUGGACGAAAGUCUGAUGGAGCAACGCCGCGUGAGUGAAGAAGGGUUUCGGCUCGUAAAGCUCUGUUGGUAGUGAAGAAAGAUAGAGGUAGUAACUGGCCUUUAUUUGACGGUAAUUACUUAGAAAGUCACGGCUAACUACGUGCCAGCAGCCGCGGUAAUACGUAGGUGGCAAGCGUUGUCCGGAUUUAUUGGGCGUAAAGCGAGUGCAGGCGGUUCAAUAAGUCUGAUGUGAAAGCCUUCGGCUCAACCGGAGAAUUGCAUCAGAAACUGUUGAACUUGAGUGCAGAAGAGGAGAGUGGAACUCCAUGUGUAGCGGUGGAAUGCGUAGAUAUAUGGAAGAACACCAGUGGCGAAGGCGGCUCUCUGGUCUGCAACUGACGCUGAGGCUCGAAAGCAUGGGUAGCGAACAGGA
rnacentral:rRNA from 1 species